UGUGCAAGUGAUGAAGAUAAAUGGGACGUAAUACUGAAAUACAUGGUGAUUCAUUUACCUGAUGCAC